rnacentral:sRNA from 1 species
AAUCUAUCAAACCACACCUGUGAACUAUCUAUGUUGGCCAUCCAAGCAUUUCUAAUGUUCGGAUUGGGCUGUGUGUGAAGUAAUUCACGCGUGGUCCAGGCGUCAAUUCCAACCUUUGGUUGGAGUUGGCUUCGGCCCUUUACUAACCCAACCAACACCAAAUUUAAAAUCUAAUAAAUUCGAAUGCAUGGCUUAGAGCUGUGGAUUCACAACAAAGACAACUCUCAACAACGGAUAUCUUGGCUCUCAGAUCGAUGAAGAACGCAGCGAAAUGCGAUACGUAGUGUGAAUUGCAGAAAUACGUGAAUCAUCGAAUUUUUGAACGCAAAUUGCGCUCGAGGCUUCGGCCAAGAGCAUGUCUGCCUCAGCGUCGGGUAAAAACUCACAAUAAAAUCCCAUGGGGUUUUAAAGUGGAACUGACUGUCUCUGCACGGAUUUCUGUGCUGGGUCAGUUGAAGUUUGCAGCUGCUGAUACAUGGACCCGCUAAUGGGCCUCUACUGGGUAGGCAAUUCAUUGCUAUUAUGCUUUAGUAGACGGCUUAGGAUCUUGUAUUGGCACAAAGCAGGAAUAUUGGCUUGUCCAGUAUUAAAUCCUUUUUCUCGACCUGAGCUCAGGCAAGA